ensembl:lncRNA
CCAGCCCUGUCCUGAGGACCCCAGGGCACGGUGAGAAGCCUAGAAGAUGUUUGGGUAGAGGUCUCUGUGCAGGGUUGGCCCACGUGGACGCUCAGUGUCCUUUAGUUUCCUCCCUUGUGGCCACGGGUGGAGGAACCCACUGGGCCUCCCCAGGGGGCCUUGCUGGGCACAGCGGGGGCCCUGGGCCGAGCCGCUCUAUUCUAACACUUGACUCCUGAGGAUCCAGUUACAGCUGAAGAGGUCCAGUCCACGGUCACCACGGUCACCACGUCCCAGCGUCGGAGAGGAGCCUGGAUCUGUUCCGACCCCCAGUGUCUCGUGGCCGGUCUGACCACUGGCAGAGAGGUGGUCCCCCCAGGCUGCUGUGGGGAUGGGGUGGUGGACGCUUGCCUGCGUCAGCAGAUUGCCGCCCCUCCGUGGUCCCCAGGGCCUAGCUCUGGGGGAGCUGAGCUGGGGGCUGGCCCGGCUCCCCCGAAGCUGGCGUUCUGGAACCACUGGGAGCAGCCUUCCCACAGUCUCCAGGGGCUCGGACACGCCAGCCAGGCGGCCUGCGUGCUCACAGUCACGAGUCCCCUGGGGCUUCACACUCCUUCCCAAAUGCUGUCUGAUUGCCCUGCACGAAUUUCAAACUUAGGUCAGAAACCCCAAACCUCACUGUCCCUGCUUUCUUCUGAAUCUCUGAUGAGAUCCUCUAAAAUGUUUCAUCAGACCCUCCAGCCCAGCAGUCGCCCCUGAGGGCUUCACCCACUGGUGUGAGUUGAAAAUCCCCGUGGACUCCAGUUGUUCCUUGUGUCUGGGUCAAUUUCUGCUCUUCGUCCUCCUUACCAGUAACCACCAGCAGUCCCGGCCCUGCCCCUUGCCCUGGACCCCCGCUAGGACCCCACCUGGGCCUGCUGGCCCCUUCCCUGCGGUGGGCAGAGAAUGUGCUGCCGCUUUGACCCUGCCGCCACUCCCCAAGCCAAAAGUCUCCAGGCCCCUUAGGUUUCGGUGGGUAAAGGCUGCCUUCCAACCAUCCCGGGGAGCAGGCGUCCGCAGCAGCACAUGCCCUCCACCUCUCCGUCCGGUUCAGCACCACUGUGGCUCAAACGUGUCCAUCAGGCUGGGCUGUCGCCCCCAGUGGUUUGCUCAACAUGAGUCCAAGUGUUGUGCUGAAGGCGUUUUGUAGGUGAGUUUGACAGUGGUGAGCCUGGGCAAAGAGGAGCUCCCUCUGUGAUGUGGGGGAGCCUCAUCCACUCAGCUGAAGGUCUUUAGAAACACUGGGGUUUCCUGGAGAAGAGAUUGUGCCUCAUGGCCUCAGCAUCCGCUGCCCCCUGCGUUCCCAGCCUCCUGGCCUGCCUCUGAAACGUGCUGCAGGAGGGGUUCUGUGAACUCUACCCUCGCCCGUCCUCCCCUGCAGUCCUCCCUCCCAGCCUUCCCUCCUCCCAGUUCAGCAGGGACACUCUUACCUACUGGGCUGUUUCUGCUUCUGCACCUCCUGGGCCGUGUGUCCCGCGUCUGCCCUCUAGAGGCCCAGGGAGGCCUCACACCUCGGGGAUCUUGCCUUUCUCCCGGUUCACUGUGGCCAUCAAAGCCUCCCGGGUUUUCUGUUGCCCAAGCCCAUGUGACUGCAGUUCUCUCUGCUGACCACCUCCCGAGCCUCGUUAUCUGCCUGCAGUAAACAUUCCUUCCUGGUGCGACCGUGCUGCCUGCUUAGACGUGCAUUCAGAGACCAGGAUCCCCGUGGCGUUCUCGUUGCUCUGAGUGGCACCCCGAGCUCUGCAGUGUCACGCGGCUGUGCCCACCCGCCCACCGUCUGAGCACCUGCUCAGGGCCGGGCCUGCACGUGACUGCUGUCCGCAUACUUGAGUAUCUAAGCUCGGUGACAUCCCAAAGAGAUGGACAUGCCGACUUAGGGCCCGGGACACCCCCCCUGACACUGGCCACGUCUGCAGCAAGCCUGUUUCCAGAGCAGGUCACGCCCCGAGCUCCGGGCAGGACUGGGUGCUGGACAGACAGCCAGGCAGGUGGUGAUGAGCCCGGGGCCCUGGCCCCCUGCCCUGCCCCAUGCUGCCCCCACUGAAGGAAGGGAAGCACCGGGACCGGGGCCUGCUUCACAGCGCGCGCCCUGCGGGGAUGAAGGGGGCUGGGUCGUGCCAGGUUAGGUGCAGUUAGGUGCAGCUCCGUCUCAGGCACGGGCACGGCUCUGUGCUCCAGAAACAUCUGCAGAUAAGCCUGAGCCUCCAGAGGGCAGGGCUGUCUGUGGAGGACCCGCGG